GAUUGGCAAGUCGAACGAACUCUGGUAUUGAUUGGUGCUUGCAUCAUGAUUUACAUUUGAGUGAGUGGCGAACUGGUGAGUAACACGUGGGAAACCUGCCCAGAAGCGGGGGAUAACACCUGGAAACAGAUGCUAAUACCGCAUAACAACUUGGACCGCAUGGUCCGAGCUUGAAAGAUGGCUUCGGCUAUCACUUUUGGAUGGUCCCGCGGCGUAUUAGCUAGAUGGUGGGGUAACGGCUCACCAUGGCAAUGAUACGUAGCCGACCUGAGAGGGUAAUCGGCCACAUUGGGACUGAGACACGGCCCAAACUCCUACGGGAGGCAGCAGUAGGGAAUCUUCCACAAUGGACGAAAGUCUGAUGGAGCAACGCCGCGUGAGUGAAGAAGGGUUUCGGCUCGUAAAACUCUGUUGUUAAAGAAGAACAUAUCUGAGAGUAACUGUUCAGGUAUUGACGGUAUUUAACCAGAAAGCCACGGCUAACUACGUGCCAGCAGCCGCGGUAAUACGUAGGUGGCAAGCGUUGUCCGGAUUUAUUGGGCGUAAAGCGAGCGCAGGCGGUUUUUUAAGUCUGAUGUGAAAGCCUUCGGCUCAACCGAAGAAGUGCAUCGGAAACUGGGAAACUUGAGUGCAGAAGAGGACAGUGGAACUCCAUGUGUAGCGGUGAAAUGCGUAGAUAUAUGGAAGAACACCAGUGGCGAAGGCGGCUGUCUGGUCUGUAACUGACGCUGAGGCUCGAAAGUAUGGGUAGCAAACAGGAUUAGAUACCCUGGUAGUCCAUACCGUAAACGAUGAAUGCUAAGUGUUGGAGGGUUUCCGCCCUUCAGUGCUGCAGCUAACGCAUUAAGCAUUCCGCCUGGGGAGUACGGCCGCAAGGCUGAAACUCAAAGGAAUUGACGGGGGCCCGCACAAGCGGUGGAGCAUGUGGUUUAAUUCGAAGCUACGCGAAGAACCUUACCAGGUCUUGACAUACUAUGCAAAUCUAAGAGAUUAGACGUUCCCUUCGGGGACAUGGAUACAGGUGGUGCAUGGUUGUCGUCAGCUCGUGUCGUGAGAUGUUGGGUUAAGUCCCGCAACGAGCGCAACCCUUAUUAUCAGUUGCCAGCAUUAAGUUGGGCACUCUGGUGAGACUGCCGGUGACAAACCGGAGGAAGGUGGGGAUGACGUCAAAUCAUCAUGCCCCUUAUGACCUGGGCUACACACGUGCUACAAUGGAUGGUACAACGAGUUGCGAACUCGCGAGAGUAAGCUAAUCUCUUAAAGCCAUUCUCAGUUCGGAUUGUAGGCUGCAACUCGCCUACAUGAAGUCGGAAUCGCUAGUAAUCGCGGAUCAGCAUGCCGCGGUGAAUACGUUCCCGGGCCUUGUACACACCGCCCGUCACACCAUGAGAGUUUGUAACACCCAAAGUCGGUGGGGUAACCUUUUAGGAACCAGCCGCCCU
rnacentral:rRNA from 1 species